rnacentral:rRNA from 1 species
UACGUAGGGUGCGAGCGUUGUCCGGAAUUACUGGGCGUAAAGAGCUCGUAGGUGGUUUGUCGCGUUGUUCGUGAAAACUCACAGCUUAACUGUGGGCGUGCGGGCGAUACGGGCAGACUGGAGUACUGCAGGGGAGACUGGAAUUCCUGGUGUAGCGGUGGAAUGCGCAGAUAUCAGGAGGAACACCGGUGGCGAAGGCGGGUCUCUGGGCAGUUCCUGACGCUGAGGAGCGAAAGCGUGGGGAGCGAACAGG